CCUAACUUGCUUCCCGACGGCGAAAAUGAGAGGCCCAUGCCGCCUCGAAGUCGUCGGCCUGAGACUCCCGCAGGCGCCGGAAGGUACCGGCCUUCCGGGGUCUGAAGCCAGGUGAAGUCGGCGUCAAGGCACCUACAGCCGCAAGGCCAUGGUGUAUACGCCGGGGCGCCAUAAG
rfam:Hydrogenibacillus schlegelii strain DSM 2000 scaffold193, whole genome shotgun sequence.